rnacentral:rRNA from 1 species
AGCAGCCGCGGUAAUUCCAGCUCCAAUAGCGUAUAUUAAAGUUGUUGCAGUUAAAAAGCUCGUAGUUGAAUUUCGGGAUCAGUACGCUGGUCAUGCCUUUGGUAUGCACUGGUGUCACUGGUUUCUCCCUUCUGAAGAACCGUGAUGUCAUUAAUUUGGUGUCGCGGGGAAUCAGGACUGUUACUUUGAAAAAUUAGAGUGUUUAAAGCAGGCUCGCGCUUGAAUACAUUAGCAUGGAAUAAUGAAAUAGGACGUUUGACCCUAUUUUGUUGGUUUCUAGGAUCGACGUAAUGAUUAAUAGGGAUAGUUGGGGGCAUUAGUAUUCAAUUGUCAGAGGUGAAAUUCUUGGAUUUAUUGAAGACUAACUACUGCGAAAGCAUUUGCCAAGGAUGUUUUCAUUAAUCAAGAACGAAAGUUAGGGGAUCGAAGACGAUCAGAUACCGUCGUAGUCUUAACCAUAAAACUAUGCCGACUAGGGAUCGGAUGAUGUUAAUUUU